rnacentral:rRNA from 1 species
GACGAACGCUGGCGGCGUGCUUAACACAUGCAAGUCGAACGGAAAGGCCCUGCUUUUGUGGGGUGCUCGAGUGGCGAACGGGUGAGUAACACGUGAGUAACCUGCCCUUGACUUUGGGAUAAUUCAGGAAACUGGGGCUAAUACCGGAUAGGAGCUCCUGCUGCAUGGUGGGGGUUGGAAAGUUUCGGCGGUUGGGGAUGGACUCGCGGCUUAUCAGCUUGUUGGUGGGGUAGUGGCUUACCAAGGCUUUGACGGGUAGCCGGCCUGAGAGGGUGACCGGCAACAUUGGGACUGAGAUACGGCCCAGACUCCUACGGGAGGCAGCAGUGGGGAAUAUUGCACAAUGGGCGGAAGCCUGAUGCAGCAACGCCGCGUGCGGGAUGACGGCCUUCGGGUUGUAAACCGCUUUCGCCUGUGACGAAGCGUGAGUGACGGUAAUGGGUAAAGAAGCACCGGCUAACUACGUG